GGGGUGUAUAGCUCAGUGGUAGAGCAUUCGACCGCAGAUCGGGAGGUCUCCGGUUCAAUCCCGGGUGUCCCUU
rnacentral:tRNA from 1 species